rnacentral:lncRNA from 1 species
UUUGUCUAUCACCAACAAUGCGUCUGCUGCCAUUGAUUGCCGUGCUUUGUCUGGUGUUUGUGACCACUGAAGGUGGAAGGUGUUACAGUUUCGGCCAGGCGUGCGGAAGAUGGAACAGGGAUGUCUGCCGCUGGUGCUGGAAACCUCACAAGCGUCUCUGCUGUCUUUGGGGCGACACCUUCAAGGAAUGCAGAAGAAAAUGUCGCUUCCCCCGUCGAUGCAGCACAUUGGGAGGUAGCUGUAGCAAAGGAUGGUGCUGUAUUCGGUGCAAAGGAAAACGUUGCAAGGGUUAACUGCACCAACUACUGUCGGCUGCCGCUGUCAUCACGUGAUGGAUAACGACAGAAGUGAUGAUGUGUCGCUGCAUGCACACGGUAUUCCUAUUUUAUGUUGAAAGCACUUUUGCAAGAUCGUGUUCGAUUUCCUGCACGUGUUUAUGCGAACCGGACAGGCAGCUUCUUACGAGAGGGUGCUAUAUUGAAUACAAUUACGGGAUCGUG